CUGAGUGAAAGAAAGAAGAAAGAAGGGAAAAAGAAAAGAGAAAGAAAAGAAGGAGGUUUCUCUUUCUUCUUCUUUUCAUUGCUUAUUCCUUUUCUUUUUUUUUUUCAAAAAAGGUAUCAUU
rnacentral:RNase_P_RNA from 14 species